AGUGAACGCUGGCGGUAGGCCUAACACAUGCAAGUCGAACGGCAGCACAGUAAGAGCUUGCUCUUACGGGUGGCGAGUGGCGGACGUGUGAGGAAUACAUCGGAAUCUACUUUUUCGUGGGGGAUAACGUAGGGAAACUUACGCUAAUACAGCAUACGACCUACGGGUGAAAGCAGGGGAUCUUCGGACCUUGCGCGAUUGAAUGAGCCGAUGUCGGAUUUGCUAGUUGGCGGGGUAAAGGCCCACCAAGGCGACGAUCCGUAGCUGGUCUGAGAGGAUGGUCAGCCACACUGGAACUGAGACACGGUCCAGACUCCUACGGGAGGCAGCAGUGGGGAAUAUUGGACAAUGGGCGCAAGCCUGAUCCAGCCAUACCGCGUGGGUGAAGAAGGCCUUCGGGUUGUAAAGCCCUUUUGUUGGGAAAGAAAAGCAGCAGGUUAAUACCCCGCUGUUCUGACGGUACCCAAAGAAUAAGCACCGGCUAACUUCGUG
rnacentral:rRNA from 1 species